rnacentral:rRNA from 1 species
GACGUAGGAGGCGAGCGUUGUCCGGAUUCAUUGGGCGUAAAGAGCGCGCAGGCGGCUUGGUAAGUCGGAUGUGAAAUCCCGAGGCUCAACCUCGGGUCUGCAUCCGAUACUGCCCGGCUAGAGGUAGGUAGGGGAGAUCGGAAUUCCUGGUGUAGCGGUGAAAUGCGCAGAUAUCAGGAAGAACACCCGUGGCGAAGGCGGCUCUCUGGGACGGUACUGACGCUGAGACGCGAAAGCGUGGGGAGCGAACAGG